AACAUUGUGGACCUUUUGAAAGUUGACGUGUUAGGGGAAAAGCGGCAUCGCCGACGAAAUUCCGCCAGCUUCGGCAGAACAAUUUGGUCCGCCGCCUCGUCAGCCCCCGGGAUUGCCUCGACCAGAGAAUCGGCCCUCGUCCAUGGAAAAGGAGGACGCGAUCCCCUUCUUGACGGACUUCCUGUAUCCGGCGCCGAUAUUGGCCAUGUACCGAUCGACGGAGCUCAGAUUCAGAUCCUUGCCGCAAGAACACAAAGGCGACGACUUUAUCAAUGAAAAGGCAGUAUUUCCAUCUAGAAGUCAAGAAAUUGGGCGAUCCAUGGGUGGAUUUCUGACGAAUCGAGGGAUUCGAACGCGAUCGCUGCUAGGGUUUGGUCUGUUGAAGUCGCCGUGGAAAGCCAUUGAUCGAUUGAUGCGGGAGAUGACUGUUCGUCCAUAUGCGGCAGCUUUCAGAUAUUCCAGUUUCAUUCGCUUGAGGUUUGAUGAAGUAGGGAGAUCAACGCGAGCACGCACACUAUGGCUCACCAGUGGCGAUGGUUUGGCCUGAUUUGAUGCAGGAAAGUGUGGAGAUCUUCGUCUGACUGGUGCUUGAAGACCCGGGUACGACGUGGUAGUUAAAGUCAAGGUGACAUGACAGUCAAAGUCAAGAGACUUCUAGAUCUCAGUUUCUCGCUUCAAAGGCAAGUCUUCGUCAUCUAGGCCAUCGGCUUAAAGUACCGAUCGAAUCUCUCGGGACUCAAUUCCCCAUUUCUCAGAGACAAGUAUCCUGGUAUAUGACCGGUCGGUCAUAGAACUGAUCGGACCUAGGAGACAACUUCAAAUUAUUUCCAGAACAGAUCUCCAACAUCACCUAGUGCAUAACCGAGCAGCUUAAGAGAAUGGUGGUUGUACAGUCAGUCUGUCUAAAGAUCUGAUCGAGAUAUACUCAGCAAACAACAUGGCCAAAAAAUCACAACAGUCUGUCAGAAUAACAACCGUUUGUUAGAGAAUAUUCCUCUAUUGUAAUAUGAGCAUUCACUGGAACCUUCUUCGAAGGUGACCUUACACUUUCCAUCAAUCGACAUAUUAUGACAGCAUAUUCUUUCAACCGCCUCAUUAAUGGCAUAAGUUAUAAAAGAGGUACACAUAUGAAUAACAGAAGAUUCCUCGGACGGUGACAAUACAUCACCUAGGUUGUACGUCUUUUCUUAUCCGACAACCUCUGACAUUCAACAUUUUCCGUCACCUCAUGAUUGUGGAGGUUAUAAGAGGUGGUAUAUAAAAGGGUUUUUCUCCGUUGGCCAGGUACACGCCUUACAACAACCUUACUUAUGCACACUCAUUUCACUAUUCAUCUCUCCAUUCUUUCUCGCUCGGACACCGUAUUGACUUGAGCGGAAUCUACGUCGGAAAUCCCCUCCUUGAUUUUGGCGCUAAUGUUUUGUGGUCUCUUUAGUGUGCACAGAGAAGAAGAAGAAGAAGAAGCCCUUUUUGCCUCCGGUUAAUAGUCUUUUCUCAAUCAACCGCACGGCCACCUACCUAGCGCGUCAUCUCUACAACUUUCAAACAGGAUCACCGAUGUUGUAGAUUGUCAAACUCUUUUACCCUAGAAUACAAGAUAUUUCUCUCUUUGCAUGCACAACUAGCAUCACUCAUACUCCGUCAUUUAAUCUUGAUGGUGCUUGCAUUGCACAAUUUAUGGCUUUUCCGAGCAUUCGAAUGAUUGUUCUGGGUUAAAGUUCUCAGUUUGCUGCGUUAUGUCUGCAGUAUAAUUAAUUUACCGUUUGUUUCAUGCAUCCCUAGCCAAGUUUUUUGUUCUUUGAGUGCAAAUGAUGUAGAUUAUCAAUCACUUUGGAUGAAUCAAUUUGUUUUCCCUCUAAAA